rnacentral:tRNA from 1 species
GGGUAUGGCUUAGUGGUAGAGCAUGUUCUUAGCAUGGACGAGGUCCUGGGUUCAAUUCCCAGUACUGCCA